CGGGGUCUUUGUCUCUCUCUGGUGCUGGCGCAGGAGCUUGGGUUCUGUCUCCACUCUUGAGCCUCCUGCACCUUGGGAGCCCCGGGAAACUCCCUCACAGUCCCUGUUGCCCUGUGUGCUGUGGAUCCUUGGGGACGCAUAGUUAAGUUGCCCGGACGUCCCGGAAGCUGGGAAAUGGUGAGUAUGCAGAGUUAGGCAUCCCGAGGGGCGAAAGUGAUCUGUGAAACCGGCGUAACCGGCCUCCCCACAGUCAGAUCCGGGUCUCCGGCAGCUUAGCCCUCAGUCCCCUGUGGCUGCAAGAUGGCCUCUGGGCCAGCAGCGGGGACCCCCGCGACCCGCCCCUCUCGUCCGGUCCAGUCUUUCGGCAGCGCCCUGCUCUGCGCCCACAGCCCUGAGAAUUUCCCAGAGUGUUCAGGGAUGCCAGGUGGGUCAUCAGGGCCGCCGCUGGGUGUGUGCCUGGCAGGAGCUGCGGCCCGUGAGGUCCCCAGUCUCUCUUGUUAAAACUUAACGGGAGUCCGUGUUAAAACGUUAACCAGUUUAUUUGAGCAAACAGCGAUUGGUGAAAUGGAAAGCACCCAGCCAUGAUUUGUGGUCCACCCAAGGGGCAUGAAGGAAAGGCUUUUAUAAGGGACACAGAAACAACAAAGUUCUGCAAGCCUGUCACCAAAAUCUCAUGGCAGGGAGACAACCUGAGCCUUGGGGAGAUGCAGAAAUGAUCCAUCUCUGGCACUUGGCUGGAGGAUCUCCUCCUGGUUCGGCCCGCCUGCCUCCACUCCUGCCUCCACCAUGUCCAUCAGGGUGACCCAGAAGUCCUACAAGGUGUCCACCUCUGGCCCCCGGACCUUCAGCAGCCGCUCCUACACGAGUGGGCCCGGUGCCGGCAUCAGCUCCUCAAGCUUCUCCCGAGUGGGAAGCAACAGCUUUCGGGGUGGCCUGGGCGGCGGCUAUGGUGGAGCCAGCGGCAUGGGAGACAUCACCGCAGUCACGGUCAACCAGAGCCUGCUGAGCCCCCUUAACCUGGAGGUGGACCCCAACAUCCAGGCCUUGCGCACCCAGGAGAAGGAGCAGAUCAAGACCCUCAACAACAAGUUUGCCUCCUUCAUAGACAAGGUACGGUUCCUGGAGCAGUAGAACAAGAUGCUGGAGACCAAGUGGAGCCUCCUGCAGCAGCAGAAGACGGCUCGGAGCAACAUGGACAACAUGUUCGAGAGUUACAUCAACAACCUUAGGCGGCAGCUGGAGACUCUGGGACAGGAGAAGCUGAAGCUGGAGGCCGAGCUUGGCAACAUGCAGGGGCUUGGUGGAGGACUUCAAGAACAAGUAUGAGGAUGAGAUCAAUAAACGUACAGAGAUGGAGAAUGAAUUUGUCCUCAUCAAGAAGGAUGUGGAUGAAGCUUACAUGAACAAGGUAGAGCUGGAGUCUCCCUGGAAGGGCUGACUGAUGAGAUCAACUUCCUCAGGCAGCUGUAUGAAGAGGAGAUCCGGGAGCUGCAGUCCCAGAUCUCGGACACAUCUGUGGUGCUGUCCAUGGACAACAGCCGCUCCCUGGACAUGGACAGCAUCAUCUCUGAGGUCAAGGCACAGUAUGAGGAGAUCGCCAACCGCAGCCGGGCUGAGGCUGAGAGCAUGUACCAGAUCAAGUAUGAGGAGCUGCAGAGCCUGGCUGGGAAGCACGGGGAUGACCUGCGGCGCACCAAGACUGAGAUCUCCGAGAUGAACUGAAACAUCAGCCGGCUUCAGGCUGAGAUUGAGGGCCUCAAAGGCCAGAGGGCUUCCCUGGAGGCCGCCAUUGCAGAUGCCGAGCAGCGUGGAGAGCUGGACAUUAAGGAUGCCAACGCCAAGUUGUCCGAGCUGGAGGCCGCCCUGCAGCGGGCCAAGCAAGACAUGGUGCGGCAGCUGCGUGAGUACCAGGAGCUGAUGAACGUCAAGCUGGCCCUAGACAUUGAGAUCGCCACCUACAGGAAGCUGCUGGAGGGCGAGGAGAGCCUGCUGGAGUCCGGGAUGCAGAACAUGAGUAUUCAUACGAAGACCACCAGCGGCUCUGGAUGUGGUCUGAGCUUGGCCUAUGGGGGCUUCACAAGCCCGGACCUCAGCUACGGCCUAGGCUGCAGCUUUGGCUCUGGUGCGGUCUCCAGCUCCUUCAGCCUCACCAGCUCCUCCAGGGCCAUGGUUGUGAAGAAGAUCGAGACACGCGAUGGGAAGCUGGUGUCCGAGUCCUCUGACGUCCUGCCCAAAUGAACAGCUGCGGCACCCCCUCCCAGCCUACCCCUCCUGUGCUGCCCCAGAGCCUGGGAGGGAGACCGCUAUGUAGGGUACCACUGGGAACAGGAGACCCAACUGAGGGCCUUCAGCCCACCCACAGGGGAGUUUACUACGUGGGGACCCCCCUUGCCCAUGCCUCCAGCUAUAAAACAAUUCAAUUGCUUCUUUUUUCGAUCCAAAAUAAAACCUCAGCUAGCUCUGCCAACAACAACAAAAAAAAAACAAAAACAAAAAACAACAACAACAACAAAAAAAAAAUCUCUCUCAAAUGUGUAGUAAGCGUCAUUUGUAAACGGUAGUUCUUUUGAUACUUAGGAUUUUGUUUUAUGUGCAUUUUUGAACACAUAUACUUAACUGUAGUGAACAGAACUGACCUAGAUAGAAACAGAAUCACUGUUUUUGUAUAACAUUAAGUUGAUAGAAUGAUUUAUCUUAUUCAAGUCUUUUGACUCGAGUCACUAUGCUUCCUUUAGUAUUUCCCUUACCUCAUAAAAGUAAUUUGUGGGAUUUUUUAUUUAUUUUAUAAAUUAAUUAAAAUACAAUUUGUAUAUGAGUAAAUAUUACUUGUUGAUUAAAAUUUAUAAUUUCUACUGUCAUUUUAGUGUCCUAAAAUAUAUGACCUCUUGAAUUUUUGCUUUUAUAAAAUUAACGAUAUUGUCAGACCUAAAACUUUGCCAUUUAUAUUUACCCCUCUGUUAUUGGAAUACAGUGUGUAUCUUCUGUUUACAGCUGAAAAAUUCUACCAAUUUUUCUCUCUCACUGGUAGACAAACUUUCUAAUAAAGUUAUCAUUCCUUGUGUUCAUUUA